CCUACGAGAGGCAGCAGUGGGGCAUAUUGCACAAUGGGGGAAACCCUGAUGCAGCGACGCCGCGUGAGUGAAGAAGUAAUUCGUUAUGUAACGCUCUAUCAGCAGGGACGCAAAUGACGGUACCUGAGUAAGAAGCCCCGGCUAACUACGUGCCAUCAGCCGCGGUCAGACGUAGGGGGCAAGCGUUAUCCGGAUUUACUGGGUGUAGAUGGAGCGUAGACGGCAGUGCAAGACUGGAGUUAAAGUCGGGGGCUCAACCCCCGGACUGCUCUGGAAACUGUACAGCUGGAGUGCAGGAGAGGUAAGUGGAAUUCCGAGUGUAGCGGUGAAAUGCGUAGAUAUUAGGAGGAACACGAGUGGCGAAGGCGGCUGACUGGACUGUAACUGACGUUGAGGCUCGAAAGCGUGGGGAGCAAACAGGAUUAGAUACCCGGGUAGUC
rnacentral:rRNA from 1 species